AAGCUCGUAGUUGAAUUUCGAGACCGGUUUACUGGUCGUGCUUUUGUACGUACUGGUAUUAUUGGUUUCUCCUUUCUGACGAACUAUAAUGCCAUUAAUUUGGUGUUUUAGGGAAUCAGGACUGUUACUUUGAAAAAAUUAGAGUGUUUAAAGCAGGCUCACGCUUGAAUACAUUAGCAUGGAAUAACGGAAUAGGACGUUUGAUUCUAUUUUGUUGGUUUCUAGGAUCGACGUAAUGAUUAAUAGGGAUAGUUGGG
rnacentral:rRNA from 1 species